CUCUCUCUCUCUCUCUCUCUCACAGCCUUUUGGCGUUGUGCCCUUGAAGGAAUCUUUGCUGUCUCACCUCCUCCAAGCCAGUAACUCUAUUCUUCUCGCCGCCGCCCUAGAUCUCGCUGCAAGCGCAGCUGCUGCUUGGCUGCUCUGUCCUCUAUAGCAGAAUCGUAGAAUUGCAGUACGGCAUUAUUGGUGUUCAUUCUUGUGGGUUCUUGCUCAGUUGCUCGGUGGGCACCUACAUUGUCAUUGUCGAAGUUAACUGCUUUGCUUGCUACUUGCUUUCCCUUGCACUCAGCACUGAACCUUAAAAAAUUCAUAAGAGAAAUAUGUAUGGCUUGAUUACCUCCUCCGCUGCUACCACGUCCGCCACUUCCAACUCUCUGUCUUCUCGCAUUCCCUUUGCCCUACUUCGUCAAAGAAUCACCAACACCGCUUCGUGCUCACAAUUGAAGUCAUGCGUUCAAGUUAACGGUAACUCGUUGCGGUCAAGUUAUAGUGCUAUUAAAGCCAUGGCUGACUCUCAUACCCUUUCAGUGCCAAAGAAUGAGCCUCAAGCCUCUGCUUCUGUCAGCAGGCAAGCUCUGAUAUCUUUAUCGGACAAAAAGGACCUGGCUUUUCUUGGUAGCGGGCUACAAAAUUUAGGGUACACAAUUGUUUCAACAGGAGGAACAGCAUCUGCUUUAGAAAGUAUUGGGGUGUCUGUAACUAAAGUGGAGCAACUUACUCGUUUUCCUGAAAUGCUUGAUGGUCGUGUGAAAACUUUACAUCCCAACAUCCAUGGGGGUAUUCUUGCUAGAAGGGAUCAGAAGCAUCAUAUGGAAGCUCUUAAUAAACAUGAAAUUGGUGUUUUUGAUGUAGUAGUGGUGAACUUGUAUCCCUUUUAUGAUAAAGUUACAUCAACUGGGGGAAUUGAGUUUGAGGAUGGAAUUGAGAACAUUGACAUUGGUGGCCCUGCAAUGAUCAGAGCUGCUGCAAAGAAUCACAAGGAUGUCUUGGUGGUUGUUGACUCUCAAGACUAUCCCGCACUGCUAGAUUUCCUUAAAGGAAACCAGGAUGAUCAGCAGUUCCGUAGAAAGCUUGCCUGGAAAGCUUUUCAACAUGUUGCUUCUUAUGAUUGUGCAGUUUCUGAGUGGCUUUGGAAACAAACUGUGGGAGAUAAAUUCCCUCCCAGUCUAACGGUGCCUCUCUCGCUUAAGAGUUCUCUUCGUUAUGGUGAAAAUCCUCACCAAAAGGCUGCAUUUUAUGUUGACAAGAGUAUUUCUGACGUUAAUGCUGGUGGAAUUGCUACAGCUAUUCAACACCAUGGGAAGGAGAUGUCAUAUAACAACUACUUAGAUGCUGAUGCAGCUUGGAAUUGUGUAUCAGAAUUUAAGAACCCUACUUGUGUUAUUGUUAAGCACACAAAUCCUUGUGGGGUAGCUUCUCGUGAUGAUAUCCAUGAAGCAUAUAGGCUGGCUGUGAGAGCAGAUCCAGUGAGUGCAUUUGGUGGCAUUGUAGCCUUCAAUAUAGAGGUUGAUGAGGCUCUUGCUAAGGAAAUCAGGGAGUUUAGAAGCCCAACUGAUGGUGAAACUCGAAUGUUUUAUGAGAUUGUCGUUGCUCCUAAGUAUACAAAAAAGGGGCUUGAGAUUCUCAAGGGAAAAUCGAAGACACUAAGGAUCCUUGAGGCAAAAAAGAAUGAAAAAGGGAAGCUGUCUCUGAGACAAGUUGGUGGUGGAUGGUUAGCUCAGGAUUCAGAUGACUUGACCCCCCAAGAUAUUCAAUUCGGUGUCAUGUCUGAGAAGGCUCCACAAGAAAGUGAACUUUGUGAUGCAGAGUUUGCAUGGCUGUGUGUCAAGCAUAUAAAGAGCAAUGCCAUAGUAAUAGCAAAGAAUAACUGUAUGCUAGGCAUGGGAAGCGGGCAGCCAAACCGGCUGGAAAGUUUGAGAAUAGCCUUGAGGAAAUCAGGAGAUGAGGUCAAAGGAGCUGCUUUGGCCAGCGAUGCAUUCUUUCCAUUCGCUUGGAAUGAUGCAGUGGAAGAGGCAUGUGAGGCUGGGAUUGGUGUUAUUGCAGAGCCAGGUGGGAGCAUCAGGGAUAAGGAUGCCAUAGACUGCUGCAACAAGCAUGGGGUUUCAUUGCUUUUUACGAAUGUGAGACACUUUAGGCACUGAGAGAUUUCGGCAAUCUCUACAUUUUUGAGUUAUAAACCUUGCGCAUGGUGCCCUCGCGGCUCAUUUUCAUUGUGCAAUUUAUAAUGAUGUGCUGUAAGGGCUCCAGAUUUUCAAAUGCCCUUGUAAUCAAAUAAUGUUCCUUGAAACAAUGCUGCAAGUAAACUAUAAUGUCUGCACUUCGCAACUUCC
rnacentral:misc_RNA from 1 species